rnacentral:rRNA from 1 species
AUACGGAGGGUGCAAGCGUUAUCGGGAAUCAUUGGGUUUAAAGGGUCCGUAGGCGGGCAAAUAAGUCAGAGGUGAAAUCCCACAGCUCAACUGUGGAACUGCCUUUGAUACUGUUUGUCUUGAGUUAUAGUGAAGUAGAUAGAAUAUGUAGUGUAGCGGUGAAAUGCAUAGAUAUUACAUAGAAUACCGAUUGCGAAGGCAGUCUACUAACUAUACACUGACGCUAAUGGACGAAAGCGUGGGGAGCGAACAGGAUUAGAAACCCGAGUAGUCC